UCGAGCUCCCAGCAUCUUGGAGGCCCUUUGGGCUGUUCAAGGCUUCUGGAAGUAAGGCCCUGGGUCAUGCAUCCAGAGCCAUUGUUGGGCUAUAGGACCCUGCACUGUGAAGGCCCUUUCGGCUAUUCAUGCUCCUUGGAGUGGAAGUGAGACUUUAGGUCUUACAUUAUUCGAGGCCCCAGCGAGAUCCCUGGGUGGGAACUGUAAAUCCGGCUGAGAUCUCUCUGUAGCGGAUCCAACAGGAGAUUCUCUAACAGACCUGAAAAGCCUCUGGAGGUAAGUUUUGGACUUGUUGCAACCAUCUGUUUGUCAGGAUUGAGGUGGCUGAUGAGCUGGGAAGCCUCCCCUGACCCCGGCCCUGAUGAGGAUUUCUGGGUGGAAUCAAAGCUUUUUUGUGGUGCUUGUUUGUCUUGUCUGUGUCCUGGCUGUUGAGUGUUAACUUUGCAUUGGUUCUUAGGGACAAGGUGGGAGGAUCCAGCUCCAAAAAACACCACGCUGGAUUGCUUUCCCACUAAUUUUAAAUUGGUUUUUUCCCUUGAGCAGGAAGAUGAAUACAGAGUCAAAUUUUCCCCCAGGAAGGAAAGAGAUAACUGACACAGACUAUAUUGGGCCUUGACUGGAGUCCUGCUGGAAGGAGUGACUGUCUGCCUCCUUGGAAGGGAAGAGGCAUGCCCACAGGAUUUCCUGGGUUCUCUUUCUAGGACUCGGAGGCCAGCUCGCUGGUAGCAGAGCAGAAAGAAGGCAAAAUCUGGCCCCCUGACCACAACUGCCUCAGGGUCACUGAGGAAUUGUUCUCCAGUCAUCCAGAUCUGCAAAAAGACCCGCUGCCUGAGGCUGAUUGCGUCCUGUUCAAGGAUAGGAGCAGCUUCAUGGAAAAUGGGGUUUGUUGUGCUGGCUAUGCAGAGAUGAAGAGGUCCAAGCAGGACUCCUCCCCACUGGAUUGGUCAGCUAAGGGCUGGAGUGGCUGCUUCUCCUCCUGUGGCCUUCCUGUAGAGAUACAAUCACGCAUCGAAGUUCUCGGUUCUCUCCUGGCCAGAGCUCUUUACUGUGUCUGAUUACCUACACGCAGGUGUGCGGUGAGCUAUGGGGACUCUUGGAGGAGGAAUCUGGGCUCGCAGGUGAUGGGGACCCAGAGUCCGGCCAGAGGCAUAGACAGAGCUGCAGCUGGUUACCAGCCAAGGAAGUUGUGAUUUCAUUCGUCCUCAUGGGAGAGUCUGCUAACAAGUGGGCCCUGUGGAAGACCCUCACCCGCCCCUUUCCAAAAGUAGAUUUGAGGCAGAGACAAGAAAGACAUGCAGGGAAGAGUGUACAGAGGCCUGGGCUUUGUGGGAGGGAAUGCCUUGACUGCUGCAUCUCCUCUUUUAUCUUACUCAAUCUUUUCUUCUGGACAUCAGAAGAAAAACAAAAAUCCAAUUCACUUACACAUCUUGUUGAUAGCUACAGAUUUGAGAUUAGUAAAUACCAUAAUCCCAGUCAUGGAAGCCUUUCUUAUA